rnacentral:rRNA from 1 species
GAGUAACAUCAACUGGAGGACCGAACCCACUAAUGUUGAAAAAUUAGGGGAUGACCUGUGGUUAGGAGUGAAAGGCUAAUCAAGCCCGGAGAUAGCUGGUUCUCCUCGAAAUCUAUUUAGGUAGAGCCUCUCGUAUUACCAUCGGGGGUAGAGCACUGUUUGGGCUAGGGGGUCAUCUAGACUUACCAACCCCAUGCAAACUCCGAAUACCGAUGAGUACAGCGAGGGAGACACACGGCGGGUGCUAACGUCCGUCGUGGAAAGGGAAACAACCCAGACCGCCAGCUAAGGUCCCUAAAUUACAGUUAAGUGGGAAACGAUGUGGGAAGGCCCAGACAGCCAGGAGGUUGGCUUAGAAGCAGCCAUCCUUUAAAGAAAGCGUAAUAGCUCACUGGUCGAGUCGGCCUGCGCGGAAGAUUUAACGGGGCUAAAACUGUAUACCGAAGCUGCGGACACAUACUUUGUAUGUGUGGUAGAGGAGCGUUCUGUAAGCCUGUGAAGGUGUGCCGGGAGGCAUGCUGGAGGUAUCAGAAGUGCGAAUGCUGACAUGAGUAACGAUAAAAGAGGUGAAAAUCCUCUUCGCCGAAAAACCAAGGUUUCCUGCGCAACGUUCAUCGGCGCAGGGUUAGUCGGCCCCUAAGGCGAGGCCGAAAGGCGUAGUCGAUGGGAAACAGGUUAAUAUUCCUGUACCAAAUGUAACUGCGAUGGGGUGACGGAGAAGGCUAGGCUGGCCUGGCGAUGGUUGUCCAGGUUUAAGCACGUAGGCUGAGAGUUUAGGUAAAUCCGGACUCUCUUAAGGCCGAGAUGUGAUGACGAAUUACUCUUAUACGAGUAAGAAGUAGUCGAUGCCAUGCUUCCAAGAAAAACCUCUAAGCUUCAGGUUACAUUUGACCGUACCCCAAACCGACACAGGUGGUUGGGUAGAGAAUACCAAGGCGCUUGAGAGAACUCGGGUGAAGGAACUAGGCAAAAUGGCACCGUAACUUCGGGAGAAGGUGCGCCGCUGACGGUGAUGGGACUUGCUCCCUAAGCUAUUGGCGGUCGAAGAUACCAGGUGGCUGCGACUGUUUAUUAAAAACACAGCACUCUGCAAACACGUAAGUGGAAGUAUAGGGUGUGACGCCUGCCCGGUGCCGGAAGGUUAAUUGAUGGGGUUAGCUUCGGCGAAGCUCUUGAUCGAAGCCCCGGUAAACGGCGGCCGUAACUAUAACGGUCCUAAGGUAGCGAAAUUCCUUGUCGGGUAAGUUCCGACCUGCACGAAUGGCGUAACGAUGGCCACACUGUCUCCACCCGAGACUCAGUGAAAUUGAAAUCGCGGUCAAGAUGCCGUGUACCCGCGGCUAGACGGAAAGACCCCGUGCACCUUUACUAUAGCUUCACACUGGACUUUGGCUUAAUUUGUGUAGGAUAGGUGGGAGACUUUGAAGCAGCGACGCUAGUUGUUGUGGAGUCAACCUUGAAAUACCACCCUGAUUACGUUGAGGUUCUAACUCAGGUCCAUUAUCUGGAUCGAGGACAGUGUGUGGUGGGUAGUUUGACUGGGGCGGUCUCCUCCUAAAGAGUAACGGAGGAGUACGAAGGUACACUCAGCAUGGUCGGAAAUCAUGCAAUGCGUAUAAAGGCAGAAGUGUGCUUGACUGCGAGCCCGACGGGGCGAGCAGGGACGAAAGUCGGUCUUAGUGAUCCGGUGGUUCUGUAUGGAAGGGCCAUCGCUCAACGGAUAAAAGGUACGCCGGGGAUAACAGGCUGAUACCGCCCAAGAGUUCACAUCGACGGCGGUGUUUGGCACCUCGAUGUCGGCUCAUCACAUCCUGGGGCUGAAGCCAGUCCCAAGGGUAUGGCUGUUCGCCAUUUAAAGUGGUACGCGAGCUGGGUUUAGAACGUCGUGAGACAGUUCGGUCCCUAUCUGCCGUGGGCGUAUGAGAUUUGAGAGGAGCUGCUCCUAGUACGAGAGGACCGGAGUGGACGAACCUCUGGUGUUCCGGUUGUCACGCCAGUGGCAUUGCCGGGUAGCUACGUUCGGAAGGGAUAACCGCUGAAAGCAUCUAAGCGGGAAGCCUCCCUCAAGAUGAGAUCUCACUAAUCUAGCGAUUCUAAAGGACCCUCGAAGACUACGAGGUUGAUAGGCAGGGUGUGUAAGCGCUGUGAGGCGUUGAGCUAACCUGUACUAAUUGUCCGUGAGGCUUGACCAU